CUUCCCCUUCCUGUCCCUUCCUGUCCCUUCCUUCCCUUCCCUUCCCUUCCUGUCCCUUCCCCUCCCUGUCAUCAGCCACACAGUGUCUGCCAUCCAUGUCUUGCAGCAGGCCAGCCAUUCUGACUUGCUCUUCUUCCUUCCAAGCAAGCAGUCACUCUCCUCCUCAGCACAUGACCCAGAAGCUUCACUUGUCCUAUGCUUUUCAUCAAGUGCCUGGCUGUCUGCUGCUGCUCUUUGUCAUAGAGUUAAGUUGUCAUUAUCUUAGUUAGUUAGUUAGUUAGAGGUCCAGAUAAUUGUUGUAUGGGCAAGACUCCUGUCCCUCCCUCUCCUUCCCUCCCUUCCUCUCCCUCUCCCCCAAGUUCCCAGUCUGCAGAGGUCCAGAUAAUUGUUGUAUGGGCAAGACUCCUGUCCCUCCCUCUCCUUCCCUCCCUUCCUCUCCCUCUCCCCCAAGUUCCCAGUCUGCAGAGGUCCAGAUAAUUGUUGUAUGGGCAAGACUCCUGUCCCUCCCUGUCCUUCCCUCCCUUCCUCUCCCUCUCCCCCAAGUUCCCAGUCUGCAGAGGUCCAGAUAAUUGUUGUAUGGGCAAGACUCCUGUCCCUCCCUCUCCUUCCCUCCCUUCCUCUCCCUCUCCCCCAAGUUCCCAGUCUGUGGAGGUCCAGAUAAUUGUUGUAUGGGCAAGACUCCUGUCCCUCCCUCUCCUUCCCUCCCUUCCUCUCCCUCUCCCCCAAGUUCCCAGUCUGCAGAGGUCCAGAUAAUUGUUGUAUGGGCAAGACUCCUUCCCUCCCUCUCCUUCCCUCCCUUCCUCUCCCUCUCCCCAAGUUCCCAGUCUGCAGAGGUCCGGAUAAAUGUUGUAUGGGCAAGACUCCUGUCCCUCCCUCUCCUUCCCUCCCUUCCUCUCCCUCUCCCCCAAGUUCCCAGUCUGCAGAGGUCCAGAUAAUUGUUGUAUGGGCAAGACUCCUUCCCUCCCUUCCUCUCCCUUCCUUUCCAGUCUUUCUCUCUUGUUCCAUUAUUCAUUUUCUCUCCCUCCCUCUUUCUUUGCUCUCUCCCUUCUUUCAUCUCCUCCCUUCAGCCGUAUUAUCGUCUUCCUUCUAAUCCAUAGCAUUUUCUCUCUCCCUUUUACAUCUGCUUUAUUUCCUUUCUCUCUCUCUCUCUCUCUCUCUCUCUCUCUCUCUCUCUCUCUCUCUCUCUCUCUCUCUCUCUCUCUCUCUCUCUCU